AAAAGAUUUUCUUUGACCCAGAGCUGCUCUCGCUCUGCACGUCGGGGUUCUUCGAGAACUGGAAACAGGCAAUCUGAAGCCCGACUUGGUGUCCUCAGAUCCAGGACCAUCUCUGGGGGACCUUGGGCAAGGUGGUGGCCGUGGCCUUUAAGUUGAAGGUCAUUUUUAAGUGAAGACUUUGGUUUGCCCUAGACUUGCCCAUGCACUCUCUGUGAGGCUUCUUUCUUCCAGAAGUGGACACGUGCAGAUCCCAGCCCUACUUGGUGUUCUCAGGUCCAGGACCAUCUGUGG